GCGGGAGUAGCUCAUUUGGUAGAGCGCAGCCUUGCCAAGGCUGAGGUAGCGGGUUCGAGCCCCGUCUCCCGCUCCA
rnacentral:tRNA from 1 species